UUAAGACUCUGCCUUGCAAUGCAGGGGACCUGGGUUUGAUCCCUGAUCAGGGAACUAAGAUCCCACGUGCCUUGGAGCAACUGAGUGCCUGAGCCACAGCUGGACUCCAUGUGCCACAGUAAAAGAUCCCAGGAGUUAUGAACAGAAGAUAUUCAAGGUUUUAAAAGAACCACUCAAGAAGAUCUGAAACUACAUUCUGCAUGUCUUCUGAGAUCAACUCUGCAGGAUGCAAAUAAAAUGACAAAUCUCGAUUGAGGAAAUCAGCGAUAAACACACAAGGGAGAUUUGACAGACAGAAGAGGAAGAGGCAAUAUGAAGAUGGUUCAAAAAUAAGAAUGAUGUGGCUGCCAGCUAAGGAAAACAUGGAUUCUGAAAAACACAAUAAGCUGGACAAGGCAAGAAGUAUUCUCUCACAGUGCUUCCAGAGGGAGCAUGCUCCUGCUGUAAACUUAACUUUGGACUUGGCCUCCAAAGCUAUGAGAGUAUGCAAUUAUUUUGCUUUAAUCCAUCAAAUUGGUGACAGUUUGUUGUAGCAUCCAUAAGAAAGUAAUACAGAUUUUGGUCCUGGGAAGUGGAUGUUGCUGUAGGAAAAUGCCUAAAAGCAUGGAAGAGGUUUUAAAACGAGAUAAUGGAUAGAGGCUGGGAGAAUUUUGAGGUGCAUGAUGGAAAAAGCCUGGAUUCUAGUGAGUGCUCAGAAUGAAGUGAGGAGUAUGAAUAAGAACAAUUCUGUCAUCUUAGAGAAUAUAUAUAUAUGUAUAUAUAUAUGUGUGUGUAUAUAUAUAUAUAUAUAUAUAUAUAUAUAUAUAUAUAGAGAGAGAGAGAGAGAGAGAGUCAUGAGCAGUGUGUUGAUAGAAAUAUGAAUGUUAUGGGUGUUUCCUGUGAGGAUUCAGAAGACAGUGAAGAACAUUUUAUUCUAAAAUAGAGCAAGCAUGAUUCUUGUUGUAUAGGCUGAAAAUAGACCUUAUAAGUAAAGGCCUCAGGUAUUUAGCUGAGGAGAUUUCCAAGUCAACAGUUGAAUAUGUGGCCUGGAUUCUUUUUUCUGAUUAUAGUACAAUGCAAGAGAUAAAUUAAGGAAGGAACUGUGAAGGCAAGAGAAACCAGCACUUGAUGUUUUGAGAAGUUUGCAAACUAGGACACAGAUAGCAGGAGAUUCAAACUCAUGUGGUUUACAGAACUACAGUAUCGACUGGGAAACCCAAGAUUUUUCCUGUCUUAUAGUUAUGUUUUUGAUUUUAUAGUAUCUACUGUUAAAGCCCGAACAGGCAAGUUUUCUCAACCUCUUUUCUCCUGUUUUUCUCAAUGACAGAAAUAAAAGUAACUCACAGUUGA